CGGGCCUUGGGUUCGGGGCCCGGAAACGGCCCAAAAGCGGGCCUAAAGCCGCUGGAAACCCACUUCGCGGGUUGCUGUUCUUGGCUGGCCGGAGCUAGUCCGGCGGCCAAAACAGCGAGGCGGGGCCGGCGAAGGGUGAGGGGGACGCCGGGGAGGUCCGGCGGGGUCGAACGGCGGCCGGAGGUGGCCGGACGGGGGCUGGACAGAGGCGAACAGGGCUGAGCAGAGCUGGAUCGCGCGGGGGAGG
rnacentral:lncRNA from 1 species